rnacentral:rRNA from 1 species
GAUGAACGCUGGCGGUGUGCCUAAUACAUGCAAGUCGAGCGAACAGACGAGGAGCUUACUCCUCUGACGUUAGCGGCGGACGGGUGAGUAACACGUGGAUAACCUACCUAUAAGACUGGGAUAACUUCGGGAAACCGGAGCUAUUACCGGAUAACAUGUUGAACCGCAUGGUUCAACAGUGAAAGACGGUCUUGCUGUCACUUAUAGAUGGAUCCGCGUCGCAUUAGCUAGUUGGUAAGGUAACGGCUUACCAAGGCAACGAUGCGUAGCCGACCUGAGAGGGUGAUCGGCCACACUGGAACUGAGACACGGUCCAGACUCCUACGGGAGGCAGCAGUAGGGAAUCUUCCGCAAUGGGCGAAAGCCUGACGGAGCAACGCCGCGUGAGUGAAGAAGGUCUUCGGAUCGUAAAACUCUGUUAUUAGGGAAGAACAAAUGUGUAAGUAACUAUGCACGUCUUGACGGUACCUAAUCAGAAAGCCACGGCUAACUACGUG